GGACGAACGCUGGCGGCGUGCUUAACACAUGCAAGUCGAACGGUAAGGCCCUUCGGGGUACACGAGUGGCGAACGGGUGAGUAACACGUGGGUGAUCUGCCCUGCACUUUGGGAUAAGCCUGGGAAACUGGGUCUAAUACCGAAUAGGACCAUGGACUUCACGGUUUGUGGUGGAAAGCUUUUGCGGCGUGGGAUGGGCCCGCGGCCUAUCAGCUUGUUGGUGGGGUAAUGGCCUACCAAGGCGACGACGGGUAGCCGGCCUGAGAGGGUGACCGGCCACACUGGGACUGAGAUACGGCCCAGACUCCUACGGGAGGCAGCAGUGGGGAAUAUUGCACAAUGGGCGCAAGCCUGAUGCAGCGACGCCGCGUGAGGGAUGACGGCCUUCGGGUUGUAAACCUCUUUCAGCACAGACGAAGCGCAAGUGACGGUAUGUGCAGAAGAAGGACCGGCCAACUACGUG
rnacentral:rRNA from 1 species